UGGGUAACCUGCCCCUCUCUCUGGGAUAACCCCGGGAAACCGGAGCUAAUACCGGAUACUCCGGCUGGAUCGCAUGGUCCGGCCGGGAAAGGUCCGCCGGAGAGGGAUGGGCCCGCGGCCUAUCAGCUUGUUGGUGGGGUGAUGGCCUACCAAGGCGACGACGGGUAGCCGGCCUGAGAGGGGCGAUCGGCCACACUGGGACUGAGACACGGCCCAGACUCCUACGGGAGGCA
rnacentral:rRNA from 1 species